rnacentral:rRNA from 1 species
AUGCACGCUGGCGGCGUGCCUCAUACAUGCAAGUCGAGCGAACGGACGAGAGGCUUGCUUCUCUGAUGUUAGCGGCGGACGGGUGAGUAACACGUGGAUAACCUACCUAUAAGACUGGGAUAACUUCGGGAAACCGGAGCUAAUACCGGAUAAUAUUUUGAACCGCAUGGUUCAAAAGUGAAAGACGGUCUUGCUGUCACUUAUAGAUGGAUCCGCGCUGCAUUAGCUAGUUGGUAAGGUAACGGCUUACCAAGGCAACGAUGCAUAGCCGACCUGAGAGGGUGAUCGGCCACACUGGAACUGAGACACGGUCCAGACUCCUACGGGAGGCAGCAGUAGGGAAUCUUCCGCAAUGGGCGAAAGCCUGACGGAGCAACGCCGCGUGAGUGAUGAAGGUCUUCGGAUCGUAAAACUCUGUUAUUAGGGAAGAACAUAUGUGUAAGUAACUGUGCACAUCUUGACGGUACCUAAUCAGAAAGCCACGGCUAACUACGUG